rnacentral:rRNA from 1 species
UCGGGAAUUUUGGGCAAUGGGGGAAACCCUGACCCAGCAACGCCGCGUGAAGGAUGAAGUAUUUCGGUAUGUAAACUUCGAAAGAAUAGGAAGAAUAAAUGACGGUACUAUUUAUAAGGUCCGGCUAACUACGUGCCAGCAGCCGCGGUAAUACGUAGGGACCAAGCGUUGUUCGGAUUUACUGGGCGUAAAGGGCGCGUAGGCGGCAUGACAAGUCACUUGUGAAAUCUCUGGGCUUAACCCAGAACGGCCAAGUGAUACUGUCGCGCUAGAGUGCAGAAGGGGCAAUCGGAAUUCUUGGUGUAGCGGUGAAAUGCGUAGAUAUCAAGAGGAACACCUGAGGUGAAGACGGGUUGCUGGGCUGACACUGACGCUGAGGCGCGAAAGCC